rnacentral:rRNA from 1 species
UACGUAGGGGGCUAGCGUUGUCCGGAUUUAUUGGGCGUAAAGAGCGUGUAGGCGGCCAGGUAGGUCUGCUGUGAAAACUCGAGGCUCAACCUCGAGACGUCGGCGGAAACCAUCUGGCUAGAGUCCGGAAGAGGCGAGUGGAAUUCCUGGUGUAGCGGUGAAAUGCGCAGAUAUCAGGAGGAACGCCAAUUGCGAAGGCAGCUCGCUGGGACGUAACUGACGCUGAGACGCGAAAGCGUGGGGAGCAAACAGG